rnacentral:rRNA from 1 species
AACGAACGCUGGCGGCGUGCUUAACACAUGCAAGUCGAACGCGAAAGGGACUUCGGUCCCGAGUAGAGUGGCGCACGGGUGAGUAACGCGUAAGUGAUCUACCCCUGUAUUUGGGUAGUAACUGUGGGAAACGUAGCAGCUAAUACCGGAUACGUUCAUAUUCUUGCGAGUAUAUGAAGAAAGAUGGCCUCUGAUUCAAGCUAUUGUACAGGGAGGAGCUUGCGUACCAUUAGCUAGUUGGUAGGGUAAUGGCCUACCAAGGCAACGAUGGUUAGCGGGUCUGAGAGGAUGAUCCGCCACACUGGAACUGAAACACGGACCAGACUCCUACGGGAGGCAG